rfam:Aeromicrobium sp. Root495 contig_1, whole genome shotgun sequence.
UGAGUCGGCCGGGCGGCCGCGGCGAGCAUGUCUCGUCGAGGAAAGUCCGGACUCCACAGAGCACGGUGGUGGCCAACAGCCACCCACGGCGACGUGCGGGACAGUGCCACAGAGAUCAGACCGCCAGCGGCUCUCGCUCCUCGGAGCGGGAGUGCGGGUAAGGGUGAAACGGUGAGGUAAGAGCUCACCAGCGGUGUCGGCGACGGCACCGGCUCGGUAAACCCCACCGGGAGCAAGACCAAGAGAGUCUCUUCGGAGGCUUGCGCUGACGGGCUGCUCGUCCGACGUCAGCGGGUAGGUCGCACCGAGGCGUCCAGCAAUGGGCGCCCCAGAUGGAUGGUCGCCCUCGACAGAAUCCGGCUUACAGGCCGGCUCAUUCG